rnacentral:lncRNA from 1 species
CAAGGAUCGGGAAGGGUCCGCCUCUUUUAGGGCGGCGGCCGGAGCGCGGAACUGGAAGGACCCGGGUACGGGGCAGCGACUCAGGCUAGAGAUAAUAUCACUAUGUAUUCUUAGCUGGCCUGGAACUUGCUACAAGGACCAGGUUUGCUGCAGACUCACAGAAAUCUGCCUGCCUCUACUGCUCAAGUGUAUCCCACCAGGUCCCACCCAGGUUGCUGCAGUCAAGGGCACAGAAAAAUAUCAUGGCGUCCUCCACAUGCUCUGGGACCUUGGGAUUCCAAGCUGCUGACUCAGGCAGACACGUAGGCAUCUCUGCUCUCAACACCUUGGUGGAGGGAAACUGCUGGACUGCUACUCCAGAGACCCUGAAGAGCAAGAACGGAAAGCAGGGGCUCCUCACCUCUCAGAUGUCACACGGACCUGGAGUGCUGACUCUCCCUCUGGCCUCUCUGAGGCUCCCUGUAGAGGACUCAGGCAUCAGUACCCUAGGACUCCGGAUUAAGAGGUAGACAGAUCUUUGUGAGUCCAAGGCCACCCAGAUCUACACAAGAGUGAAUCAGCCUGAAAGAGAAUUAUAGCUCACACCUUUAAUCCCAGGACUCAUGAGAGGUAUAUAAGACAGGAGCAAGGACUCAGUAUCAGGCAUUCAUUCUCCAGCCACACUGAGGAAAGGCAGCAGUCUGAGGCUUGGUGAAGAGCUCGUGCAUGGAUCAGCCCUUUCAGCCUGAGAUAGAGGUGAGAGCUAGUGGCUGGGUGCUUUGCUCUCCUAAUCAUCAGCUUGUAGUUUGAACCCUAAUAUCAGUCUCAUGGGAGGAGACACUGAGAUUCUGCUUUUGUUCCAUUGGCCAAUUCUGCCUGCCGUGGAGAAGGGUGUGUAGUUCUUCUGAGGAGAUAGGCAUUGUCCAUACCCUUUCUCCUGGAUGGACUGAGGAAUAAAGAUGUGGCUUGCUUCUCCCAAUCUAUAGCUGAAAACACAGGAAAAGUAGUGGCUGCUUUUGCAACACAUGCUCCCUCCAGCCCUACCGUGAACUCUCCUGCAGUUCUGUAGGCAAAGCCUAUAUGCCCCACAUACGUCAUUUGCUACCAUAACCUGGCAAAGGGCUUUCUGUGCCUGCUGGGUGCAUUGCUAGGGUUGAGCAUGCCAGCAGCCAUGUUGGACCACACACAGGAGGUCUGUAUGAAGUCCCCAGCUCCUUCCCUCCUUUGUUAGGGCCAUUUUGAGGACUUUCUGGGUGUUGUAAAGGGCUCAGAGUGGAAGAAGUUUUUCUUUCCCUUCUCUCCCUUCCAUUUUCUUCCCCCACAGUGCUACCACUCAGACAAACCACAGCACACACGUUGUUGACUCCAAGACUGUUUUGGAGAAACACAGUUAAACAAGGAUGUUUUCU